rnacentral:rRNA from 1 species
CCUGAGAAACCCAAAAGAUCGAAUGGGGAGAUUCAACGUCAGCGCAUUUGGUAUAUGUGCAAGUUAUGAUGUUAGUUGUCCUUAUGGACAUUACUUGGCACGUGCUUGUAUCAUUUAAUUGCCGGAUGUCGUCGGCGUGCACUUCUCCCCUAGUAGGACGUCGCGACCCGUUGGGUGUCGGUUUACGGCCCGAAUGGUAGUCUUCGAUGUUCACCGUUAAAACGUGUAAUAUUGAAGACCAUCGGUGUUUUCUGACCGGCUGCCCGGCGGUAUUCGCACGGUAUUGAGCCGCAAUUUGCGUCAAACCCGCCGCAAGCGAGGCCAGUGUCUAACCCGGCAGUGCGGACCUAGUGCCGUCGCUGGGCCUGGCCAGCUGUUGGUUGUUGCGGUGUUCUUUGACUGGCUCUAUAUGAUAAUAUAAUUACCGGUCGGCGACGCUACUGCUUUGGGUACUUUCAGGACCCGUCUUGAAACACGGACCAAGGAGUCUAACAUGUGCGCGAGUCAUUGGGAUUUAUUUUUUUAAAACAAACCUAAAGGCGCAAUGAAAGUAAAGGUCGUCCUUGCGUCGACCGAGGGAGGAUGAGUCGCGUUACGAUGCGGCUCCGCACUCCCGGGGCGUCUCGUUCACAUUAUGCGAAGAGGCGCACCCAG